rnacentral:ncRNA from 1 species
AAGAUGAGAAGACCCUAUGGAGCUUUAAUUCAUUAAUGCAAGUAAAAACUCAAACAAGCCUACAGGCCCUAGCCUAUUAUCCCUGCAUUAAAAACUUUGGUUGGGGUGACCUCGGAGCAUAAUUCAACCCCUGAACAACCUAAACGAGGACGGCACUAGUCUAAGCAUAUUAAUAUACAUUGAUCGAUAAUUUGAUCAACUGAAUAAGUUAUCCUAGGGAUAACAGUGCAAUCCUCUUCUGGAAUUCAUAGUGAAAAUUGGGUUUAUGAUCUUGAUGUUGGAUUAGAACAUUUUAAUGGUGUAGCAAUUAAGGGUUCCUUUGUCCAAGGAUUAAAGUUCUGCAUAAUCUGAGUUCAAAUCGGAGUAAUCCAGGUCGGUUUCUAUCU